CCUCAUCACACCAGGUUUAGCCCUACCGGCCUUCUGAGUGGCCAGUGCUGGUCCAGAUCCUACACCAGGGCUACCCCUGGGGGCCUGCUGGCACUGCCCUGAUUCCAGCAGCCCAUGUCCCCUCUCAGGGAUGAGGAGUGACACUGCAUCUGGCUGGUGGGCUGGAAGGCUGGAGAUAAGCCUGGCACAGGGUCGGUGGUGAGGCGCUGGGGCCAGUGGCUGUGGCAGGGCUGGUUCCACGGGGAUUGAUGGUGAGUGCCAGGGGACAAAUGUCUGGGGAUGCCCCAGGCCUGGUCGGGGUUGGAUUGUGGGGGGUCUCCGCUGCCAAGAGGGGUGGACAUGAGGUCUUCACUUCGAGUGUGUCUUGAGGCUCAAAGCCAGGGACGGUGCGUAGACUUUGCCCAGCCCCACGAGCGAAGGUCACAUGAGAUUCAGUAUUUGGAUCCCUUUGCAACAGUCUGGUGAGUGUGAAACUGAAUAGUUUAUUUCUUUGUUUUUCAGCAAACAACAUCACAUAAUUGUUUAUUAUUUAGGCAUCUUGUUCUACCCAAGACACACAUCCCACUGCAAGUUCAAGCCUCAGAAACCUUACCAUCUAUCACAGAUUUUGUAUUUUGCUAGUGGAUAUCUGCUGAGAGGUGCUAAGGCCUGCAAGCGGGGGUGCCUUUGAUCCAAAGCCAAUCACAGACAUCAUUAAAGACUAUGUCUACGCUGCACAGUUAACCCAGGAGAUUUGCUGAGAACCCAGUUUCACCCUGCCUGGGUGUAAACAUCCCCACUGCAAAGCCAUUCCUGCAUUACUGUGUCCUUGGAACCAUUAGGAAUGGGACAGAUAAUAAACCAGAAAAUAUCAUAAUACCACUAUAUAAAUUCAUGAUUCCCACUGAAGUCAAUGAGAGUCUUAGGUGUAGCAGGAAAGUCGGAUUGGACACUAUAUGGUGAACCAACUAUCCCUCAAGUCCACCCAUCCCGCUAAACAACACAAACAAAUCACUGAACCGGGAAAUCCCAGCGAAUAAUGUAGGUCCCUUCAGUGCUCUGCAUUAUAGUCCGUGAUCUGAAACCGUCCCAUCCUGCUACACCAGCUUCAAACUCAC